GGCGAUACACUAUUUAUCGCC
rnacentral:misc_RNA from 1 species